ensembl:lncRNA
GUGGAUGAGGAAAAGGCUGUUGAUGUAGUCUACCUUGACUUCAACAAAGCCUCUGACACUGUCUCCCAUGGUAUUCUCCUGGAGUAGCUGGCAGUCCAUGGCUUGGACAGGUACACUCUUUGCUGGGUAAAGAUCUGUCUGGGCCCAGAAAGUGGUGAUGAAUGGAGUUAAAUCCAGCUGGUGAUUGGUCACGGGUGGUGUUCCCCAGGGGAUGGUAUUGGUCUGUUCUGUGCAAGAUCUUUAUUGAUGGCCUGGAUGAGAGCAUUGAGUACGUGCUCAGUAAGUUUGCAGAUGACACUAAUUUAGCAGGAAGUGUUGAUCUUCCAAGGGGUAGGAAGGCCCUAUAGAGCAAUCUGGAUAGCUGGGCUGAGGCCAAUGGGGUGAAGUUCAACAAGAACUGCCUACGCUUUGGCCACAACAACGCCAUGUAAUGCUACAGGCUUGGGGCAGAGUGGCUGGAAGACUGUAGAGGAAACAAACCUGGGGUUGCUGUUUGACACUCAGCUGAACAUGGCCUGGCAAUCUGCCUAGCUGGCCAAGAAGGCUAAUGGCAUUCUGGCUUGUAUCAGAAACAGUUCUGCCAGCAGGAGCAAGGAAAUGAUCAUCCCUCUAUACUCAGCCCUGGUGAGAUCACAUCUUGAAUAGUGUUCAGUUAUGGGCUCCUCACUACAAGGAAGACGUCAAGGCCCUGGAGUGUGUUCAGAGAAGGACAACAAAGCUGGUGAUGGGUCUGAAGCAUAAGCCUAAUGAGGAGCAGCUGAGGGAGCUGGGAUUGUCUAGUCUGGAGAAGAAGAGGCUCAGGGGAGACCUUAUUGCUCUCUACAACUUUCUGAAGGAAGGUUGUAGUCAGGUGGGGUCAGCCUCUUCUCCCACGUGAUCAGUGGUAGGACUGGAGGGAACGGCCUCAAGUUGCAUUCAGAUGGGAUGUUAGGGAAAAACAACUUCUGGCACAUGGUCAGGCACUGGAACGAGCUGCCCUGGGAGGAGGUGGUUGAGUCACUGUCCCUGGAGGUGUUCAAGAAACGUUCAGAUGUUGUACUGAGGAGCAUGGUUUAGUGGGAAGUAUUGGUGAUAUGUGGAUGGUCACACUGAAUGACCUUGGAGGUCUUUUCUAGCCUUGGUGAUUCUGUCAUUUUAUGCCCAGCAAUAAAAACUGAGAUAAAGAGAGUAGAAAGGCUUUUGUCUUCUAAGCUGCCCCUUGUACAGAGACUGGCUGACCACCAGCCUGUCUGUGGUGGCGCUGUAUGAUUUCCUCUGCCUUGCUCAUAUUUUUUCCUCUUUCCUUCACCUAUUGAGUUGUCUUUAUCUCAGCCCACAAUCCUCCCUUUUGCUCCUACUGUUUUUUCCCGCUGGAUAUGAGGGGGGGAAAAAAGCAUCUUUGGGUGCUUGGCUGCUGGUUGGAGUCAAUCCUCCACGAUUCUCCAUUCUGUAAAUGAUUUUGUUUGGUGUCUACCAAAUCUGAGACAUCUUCAGAACCAUAUCACUUCCAUUUGUUACUGUACAAUCCUGUACAGUGUACUUGACGUAAGGAUCCAUCAGACAGGAGUACUUUCACAGGCUGCAGUUCAUGUAAGCCACCACAGGGAGACAGCUGCAAUACGUCUCUGAAAAAAGAGAUAGAAAAUGUCAGGCUGGGGAGUUUGUGUGGAAACUAUUACACACCAUUGUACAGAGAUUGGGCUCCUAUGGACUUGCCCUUUUCUGAGGCAGUGAGUUUGGCUUCUGUGGACCAAAGCUCAAAACCAGCUUUCAUGUGUGGGCUCUUCGUGGAGUAGGCAGGACCCCAGGAGUGGCUUUGGUGGUUGUUGCACAUGGUCUUAUGUUUGGAACAGGGCCAUCAGAAGCCCUGUGAGGUGGAUGUUAACACUUGCUGAAGGGAGAUGUGGUAUGUGCACUGUGUGAGACGAAGUCCAUGAGUUUGCAGCUGAAAUCUGUAGUAUUCUGCAUGAACACAAAAGGGCCAAGUGGAGAUUCAAAAUGUGAUUUUUAUUUUUGGCACCUCCUAAUUCUGCAUGCAUGACUGCACUCAAGCAAAUGUCUGUUUAAACAGUUAAUUAUAUGCAAAUGACUUUAGAGAUUUCAAUAAUAUUCAGGCUUCUCUUCCUUUCCCUUGUAAAUUGAUUUGCAAUUAAAAUGUCUGAUGUUUACCUGCCA